rnacentral:tRNA from 1 species
GCCCCCGUAGGCUAACGGAUAGACUGUGGGCUUGCGGAGCCUGAUAUCUGGGUUCAAUUCCCAGCGGGGGCG